CCCGCCAUUAAUAUUACAAGGUUUGGAUUUGUUUAUGCGAAUUUUUCAUAUGUCAAUGGUAAAAAGAAAGAUCAUAAGAUGGUUCCUUGUGGAACUCCUGAUUCAGCCGCCUCCAUCCAUGAUGUAUUAUCUACAAAUACUUUUUCAUUGUUAUUCUUUUAUUACUCAAAUUCAUUCUUAAUUUUUUUAAUCCUUAAAAUCUACAUGUCUCAUUAUUGACUACUGAUAUUAUUUCAGAGAGUAUGGCUGGAAAUAUAAAGGAAGAAAGGAAUAAGAGUUUAAUUUGAAAGAGGAAAAUGAUUCCAUGAAGGAAGAAAUACCAUCUCCUUCCACUGUAGAGGAUACAUAUACUAUAUAUGUAAAGGGGAAAGUAAAACUGGAAAAUACUGAGUGAGAUUAACGAACCUGGAGUUAUUAACAGUCCUGACAAUCAUUAUGGAAUUUUUCUAUUCAUAAAAAGGUGCAUGUGGAUUAACUAAAUCUUAAAGUAGAAGUACCAGAGAAAAUUCAAAAUGCUAGUGAAGAAAAAGAGAACAUUAGAGGAAUUUUGCAGUACUUAUUAGAAAACCUAAAUCCACCAAUUGCAAGUGUGCUGAUUCUGAUUCCUUAAAAUGUGUAGAGCAUGAUGUAACAGUGGACACACAGUGGACACAGUUGCUAGUGCUACUUGUCUCCCCCUUGUUGGACAACCAUUAUGACAGGGUGGACGGAAUAUGUGAAACCGUACCAGGAUGAAAGUCUAUAAUUCUGCAACGGAGUUUAGCAUGCUGCAGGAUGUCCUGAAGUAGGAAAACUUGGACAAAAUAUGUGAAACCGUACCAGGAUGAAAGUCUAUCCUGCAACGGAGUUUAGCAUGCUGCAGGAUGUCCUGAAGUAGGAGAACUUGGACAAAAUAUGUGAAACCGUACCAGGAUGAAAGUCUAUCCUGCAACGGAGAUUUGCAUGCUGCAGGAUGUCCUGAAGUAGGAGAACUUGGACAGAAUAGUGAAACCGUACCAGGAUGAAAGUAUAUCCUGGAACGGAGAUUGGUUUGGCAUGCUGCAGGAUGUCCUGAAAUAGGAGAACUAUAUAAUAUGAAUAUGCAAGCUAAAAUGCAAUAAAAAUAUGAACGCUCUGUGUAGGCUUAAACGAGCAGCUUACAAUAUUAUAAAGGACAAGCUACUUACAGGGCUGCAGACGGAGGAUUUGAUAUUUUUGAAGAUAUAAAGAAGUUUUGCGGUAAAACUAGCACUUUAUCUAGCAGUGUUGAUGGUUACACUGGAACACAGGAUAUUUCUAAUCAUUUUGCCGAUAUUUACAGUGAACUUUAUCAGUAACAUGAUUUAGGAGAUGAGUUUGCUCGGGUUCAUGAAUCCAUUGUUUUCCAGGUAGAUCCUUGUCUACUGGAUGAGCUGGAUAGUCAACGAGAGAACUGUGUUUGAAGCUCUAACUAAAUCCAAAUCAGGGAGAAGUGAUCCAAUUAAUUUUUAAUUUGGAUUGUAUAUUAAGAUCGUGUGAUGAUCUAAUUAAGCAUGUGACAAUACUAUUUAAAUGGUUUCUGCGUACUGCAUUUCUGCUGCUUUGUAAUGUAGUACCUAUCGUUAAGGACAACCUAGGAGAUAUUGCAACAAGUGAUAACCACAGAGCCAUUGCGAUAGGUAUCUUAUUAUUAAAGCAUGGUUUGAUUGGCUUAUCAUUAUUCCCAAAGGUGAUAAACUAGCAACAGAUGAGCUACAGUUUGGGUUUCAAGCUAAAUCUAGCACAUCUAUGUGUACUUGGGCGAUAAUCACUGUAAUAGAUUAUUAUAAUAGACUAGGCAGGCCUAUAUUAGCCUGUUCAAUGGACCUAAGUAAAGUAUUUGAAAUGGUUUCUUUGGCUAAACUAUUUCCUGAACUUCUGAAAAGAAAAAUAUAACCUUCGAUAUUAA